UACGAAGGGGGCUAGCGUUGUUCGGAUUUACUGGGCGUAAAGCGCACGUAGGCGGAUCGUCAAGUCAGGGGUGAAAUCCUGGAGCUCAACUCCAGAACUGCCUUUGAUACUGGCGAUCUUGAGUCCGGAAGAGGUGAGUGGAACUCCUAGUGUAGAGGUGGAAUUCGUAGAUAUUAGGAAGAACACCAGUGGCGAAGGCGGCUCACUGGUCCGGUACUGACGCUGAGGUGCGAAAGCGUGGGGAGCAAACAGG
rnacentral:rRNA from 1 species